rnacentral:rRNA from 1 species
UCGUACUCCCCAGGCGGUGUGUUUAUCGGUUUCCCUGCGACACUGAAAAUAAAUUUCCAACGUCUAACACACAUCGUUUACGGCAUGGACUACGAGGGUAUCUAAUCCUCUUCGCUACCCAUGCUUUCGUUCCUCAGUGUCAGUAAUGAUCCAGAAAGCUGCCUUCGCAAUUGGUAUUCUUUCUAAUAUCUACGAAUUUCACCUCUACACUAGAAAUUCUGCUUUCCUCUAUCAUACUCUAGCUGAAAAGUUUUGAUGGCAGUUCCAGAGUUAAGCUCUGGGAUUUCACCACCAACUUUUUCAACCACCUACGAACUCUUUAAGCCCAGUAAUUCCGAACUACGCUAGGUCCCUUCGUAUUACCGCGGCUGCUGGCACGAAGUUAGCCGGACCUUCUUAUUCGGGUACAGUCAUUUUCUUCCCCGACGAAAGAGCUUUACAACCCAAAGGCCUUCUUCACUCACGCGGCAUCGCUGCAUCAGAGUUUCCUCCAUUGUGCAAGAUUCCCCACUGCUGCCUCCCGUAGGAGUUUGGGCCGUGUCUCAGUCCCAAUGUGGCUGAUCAUCCUCUCAAAUCAGCUAUUGAUCAUAGUCUUGGUAGGCCAUUACCCUACCAACAAACUAAUCAAGUGCGGGCUCAUCCAAUGGUGCAUAAAGCUUUCUCCGUAAAGACUUAUCCGGUAUUAGCACAAGUUUCCUCGUGUUAUUCCAGGCCAAAGGGUAGAUACCCACAUGUUACUCACCCGUCUGCCACUAAGUAUUGCUACUUCGUUCGACUUGCAUGUGUUAGGCGUGCCGCCAGCGUACGUUCUGAGCCAGGAUCAAACUCU